UUUUAAGUGGACACACACAACAAGCAAUAAUCUUGUUCAUUUUACUCUGUUUAAAUAAAACUGCCUCCCCAUGGAAAAAGCAUGGGAAACCCCGUAUCAAAUUAGUGUACCAAAGCCUCAUUGCGGUAGGAAACAACUCUUUGGAGCGUUAUGUUCACCUCGUGUGUAAAAAGUUUUAACGGGUUGUUUUUUCUACCCAAACGCUGGGUUGCCGCUCUUGGGUAAUUGUUCUGGGUUAUUUACAGAGAGUUGGGUAGUUUUUGUGUAACCCAGCUGCUGGGUUGAAGUUUGCUUGACUCCCCCCCAAAGUUCACCGGUGGAUUCAGCGGCUGUCAGUCAGAGCUUCAUGUCUCUCUUCAGCUCCCACACCGCUGAUGACGGUUCAUCCUCCUCGGGCAUUUAAGGGGAAAUGGCGUUAAAUACAAGGUUGGAACCAACAUGGUGAAAUACCUCCAGCAGGCUGAAGGGUCAAGGCCGUACCCCUACAUCCUGACGUUGGGAGAAAAUGACCAGCGCUGCUCUUAGGCAUUCGUCAUUCUGGUGGGACAGGCUCUGGAGCAAUGCACACUACUUGGGGCGGUUGAUGUGUGCUUAAAGGCAUUUUAUAUUUUUGACAUUAACUAUCCAAAGGAGUGUGCACCUGUAUAGGACUUUUUGUAAUGUUGCUAUGAAAUAGCGAGGCCUACUUGAAAAGUCAUAGACAGUGUUUGUAUGUUAAAAUGAGACCAGGGCUGGAUAGUUUUGUUCUGCAAAAAAGAUAUUUGGAGUCACAGAGAUCCUGCUCUGUAGAAGCUGCCUCAGCCUAUUUGUGCAAUUACUCCAUUCUGCCCUUGUGAGUAAUAGUAUGGUAAUGAUGUUGCUGUUGAUUAUCUGUUCUUGUGCUUUUGAAAAAUAAAUAUUUUUUCUAGGAACA